rnacentral:tRNA from 1 species
UAUAUUUUAAUGUAUGAUGCAUAGAAGAUUUUGAUUCUUUUAGAAAUAGUUUAAUUCUAUUAAAUAUAAAAUUUU